UACGGGGGGGGCAAGCGUUGUUCGGAAUUACUGGGCGUAAAGGGCGCGUAGGCGGUUGGAUAAGUCAGCUGUGAAAACCACGAGCUCAACUUGUGGCCUGCAGUUGAAACUGUCUGGCUAGAGUGUGGGAGAGGGAAGUGGAAUUCCUGGUGUAGCGGUGAAAUGCGUAGAUAUCAGGAGGAACACCGGUGGCGAAGGCGGCUUCCUGGACCACAACUGACGCUGAGGCGCGAAAGCUAGGGGAGCAAACAGG
rnacentral:rRNA from 1 species